rnacentral:misc_RNA from 1 species
AACGCACCUUGCGCCCCUUGGUAUUCCGAGGGGCACACCCGUUUGAGUGUCGUGAAAACCUCAACCUCCUUGGUUUCUUCUGGAGACCAAAGAAGGCUUGGACUUUGGAGGCCUUUGCUGGCACCUCUCUUUUGAAGGCCAGCUCCUCUUAAACAAAUUAGCAGGGUCCUCUUUGCUGAUCCUUGACAUGUGAUAAGAUGUUUCCAUGUCUUGGUUUCUGGCUCUGUCACCUUUGGGACCCGCUUCUAACCGUCUUGACCUUGCAUCGAGACAACGUUCGAGCAUGUCUCCCUUUCUCGGGAAGCUCCCUCGACCCCACGAACCCCUUGACCUCAAAUCGGGUGAGACUACCCGCUGAACUUAA